ACUCCUACGGGAGGCAGCAGUAGGGAAUCUUCCGCAAUGGGCGAAAGCCUGACGGAGCAACGCCGCGUGAGUGAAGAAGGUCUUCGGAUCGUAAAACUCUGUUAUUAGGGAAGAACAAAUGUGUAAGUAACUAUGCACGUCUUGACGGUACCUAAUCAGAAAGCCACGGCUAACUACGUGCCAGCAGCCGCGGUAAUACGUAGGUGGCAAGCGUUAUCCGGAAUUAUUGGGCGUAAAGCGCGCGUAGGCGGUUUUUAAGUCUGAUGUGAAAGCCCACGGCUCAACCGUGGAGGGUCAUUGGAAACUGGAAAACUUGAGUGCAGAAGAGGAAAGUGGAAUUCCAUGUGUAGCGGUGAAAUGCGCAGAGAUAUGGAGGAACACCAGUGGCGAAGGCGACUUUCUGGUCUGUAACUGACGCUGAUGUGCGAAAGCGUGGGGAUCAAACAGGAUUAGAUACCCUGGUAGCUACGAGU
rnacentral:rRNA from 1 species